GACGAACGCUUUCGGCGUGCUUAACACAUGCAAGUCGAACGGAAAGGCCCUGCUUUUGUGGGGUGCUCGAGUGGCGAACGGGUGAGUAACACGUGAGUAACCUGCCCUUGACUUUGGGAUAACUUCAGGAAACUGGGGCUAAUACCGGAUAGGAGCUCCUGCUGCAUGGUGGGGGUUGGAAAGUUUCGGCGGUUGGGGAUGGACUCGCGGCUUAUCAGCUUGUUGGUGGGGUAGUGGCUUACCAAGGCUUUGACGGGUAGCCGGCCUGAGAGGGUGACCGGCCACAUUGGGACUGAGAUACGGCCCAGACUCCUACGGGAGGCAGCAGUGGGGAAUAUUGCACAAUGGGCGGAAGCCUGAUGCAGCAACGCCGCGUGCGGGAUGACGGCCUUCGGGUUGUAAACCGCUUUCGCCUGUGACGAAGCGUGAGUGACGGUAAUGGGUAAAGAAGCACCGGCUAACUACGUGCCAGCAGCCGCGGUGAUACGUAGGGUGCGAGCGUUGUCCGGAUUUAUUGGGCGUAAAGGGCUCGUAGGUGGUUGAUCGCGUCGGAAGUGUAAUUUUGGGGCUUAACCCUGAGCGUGCUUUCGAUACGGGUUGACUUGAGGAAGGUAGGGGAGAAUGGAAUUCCUGGUGGAGCGGUGGAAUGCGCAGAUAUCAGGAGGAACACCAGUGGCGAAGGCGGUUCUCUGGGCCUUUCCUGACGCUGAGGAGCGAAAGCGUGGGGAGCGAACAGGCUUAGAUACCCUGGUAGUCCACGCUGUAAACGGUGGGUACUAGGUGUGGGGUCCAUUCCACGGGUUCCGUGCCGUAGCUAACGCUUUAAGUACCCCGCCUGGGGAGUACGGCCGCAAGGCUAAAACUCAAAGGAAUUGACGGGGCCCCGCACAAGCGGCGGAGCAUGCGGAUUAAUUCGAUGCAACGCGUAGAACCUUACCUGGGUUUGACAUGGAUCGGGAGUGCUCAGAGAUGGGUGUGCCUCUUUUGGGGUCGGUUCACAGGUGGUGCAUGGCUGUCGUCAGCUCGUGUCGUGAGAUGUUGGGUUAAGUCCCGCAACGAGCGCAACCCUUGUUCACUGUUGCCAGCACGUUAUGGUGGGGACUCAGUGGAGACCGCCGGGGUCAACUCGGAGGAAGGUGGGGAUGACGUCAAGUCAUCAUGCCCCUUAUGUCCAGGGCUUCACGCAUGCUACAAUGGCUGGUACAGAGAGUGGCGAGCCUGUGAGGGUGAGCGAAUCUCGGAAAGCCGGUCUCAGUUCGGAUUGGGGUCUGCAACUCGACCUCAUGAAGUCGGAGUCGCUAGUAAUCGCAGAUCAGCAACGCUGCGGUGAAUACGUUCCCGGG
rnacentral:rRNA from 1 species